rnacentral:lncRNA from 1 species
GAGCCAGGGUGGCCCAGGGGCUCACAGGAAUUCCCCUUCUGCUCUGAGCCCACCAGAGCUGGCUAUACAAUGAUAACUUCACCCCCCUCGCCCCCCAUGGGCAGCACCUGCUCCCUGGGUCUCCCCUGGUGGCCCUAUUAUCCCGCACCUGCUGCUUCCCCACCUGCUCCCUAUUCUUAGCCCCCUCCCCAUAGCACACCCUGUUCAUCACUAGGCCCAGCUGCCUGCUCUGACAGCCAGCCAGGAAGGGGUAAUAGAACCAGGAGAGGUAGCAUGGAGGGCCCAAGGACAGAGGGUCCAGAGGCCAGUCCAGCUCUGUUUGACUAGUAGUGUGUAUGCUUACAAUGGACUCCAUCUCAGGGCCUCAGUCUCCCCACCUGUGAAGUAGGAACCGCAAGCCCUGACCUCAACUUUCUACAAAAACUUUACUGCUUGGAAGAUCUUAGGCCAUCGUGUUUCAAGAUCUGAGUUACAGAGGACAACCAGUAAGGUGUGGACCCAGCCUGGGUGCCAGGCAACAGGUAGAUGAAUAAGGAAACUGUGAUUAUACAACAUGGAGGCUUAUCCUACCGCAAGAAUCAGUGCUGUGUGCAGGAAAAGAAAUGGGGCUGCAAAGCCUUGUGUUACAUCAAAGAAGCCAGAUGCAGAAAGACAGAAGCCACGAUCUCUCCCACGAAAGAAGUGGACCAUGAGGACAAAGAGCGGGACAAGGGAGGGUGACGCAACCUUCACGUGCAUGAAGAUGCUAAUGGUUCAUAUUUUAUAUCCUGAAGAAAGAAAUCAAAAGAACUAAAACAAUCCCCAUAGUUAAAACAGAACAAAGCAGAAAAAAAGAAUCACUUCUGGGGCUGGAGGUGAUGUUUCUGAAAAAGGGUCCCGAGGAACUGAAACCACAGUGAUGUGUCACAGAGAAAUGACAACUCACUUUUCCCAGAUGUGAGCUCUCAGCUAUUCCUGCCAUCAUGCCUGCUGCUUGCUGCUGUGAUUCCCAACUGUAACGGGGAUGGAGUCCUAUCCCCCUAGAACCAUUAGUCCAACAUAAAUCCUUCUGCACGU